rnacentral:rRNA from 1 species
GAUGAACGCUGGCGGCGUGCCUAAUACAUGCAAGUCGAGCGAACAGACGAGGAGCUUGCUCCUCUGACGUUAGCGGCGGACGGGUGAGUAACACGUGGAUAACCUACCUAUAAGACUGGGAUAACUUCGGGAAACCGGAGCUAAUACCGGAUAAUAUAUUGAACCGCAUGGUUCAAUAGUGAAAGACGGUUUUGCUGUCACUUAUAGAUGGAUCCGCGCCGCAUUAGCUAGUUGGUAAGGUAACGGCUUACCAAGGCAACGAUGCGUAGCCGACCUGAGAGGGUGAUCGGCCACACUGGAGCUGAGGCACGGUCCAGACGCCUACGGGAGGCAGCAGUAGGGAAUCUUCCGCAAUGGGCGAAAGCCUGACGGAGCAACGCCGCGUGAGUGAUGAAGGUCUUCGGAUCGUAAAACUCUGUUAUUAGGGAAGAACAAAUGUGUAAGUAACUAUGCACGUCUUGACGGUACCUAAUCAGAAAGCCACGGCUAACUACGUG